AGCGUGGGCCGGAAUAUGGCUCAUAGAAACUUAGUUUCUGUGGGAGGAAAGUCCGGGCUUCAUAGAGCACCGUAGCAGCUGUAGUGGCUGCCCAGGGAUCUCCCUUUGGGGAGCGUACUUGAGGAAUAGUGCAACAGAGAGAAUGUCCAGGGCAUUGAGCUCUAAGUCGGGAGAAGGAGACUUAGAAGGAGCCGCUGGAGUGAAAACAGGCAAACUCUACGGGAAGCAAGAUCAAAUAGGAGAGAUUGGGCGGCUCGCUCAUAGGUCUCUCGGGUAGAUCGCUUAGAGAAAUCAUAUUCUCCAGCGCAUAAGGCACCUUCGGUUUCCAAGGCGUUGAAGACAGAACCCGGCUUACAGGCCCACGCAACCG
rnacentral:RNase_P_RNA from 1 species